UACGUAGGGGGCAAGCGUUGUCCGGAUUUAUUGGGCGUAAAGAGCGUGUAGGCGGCCAGGUAGGUCAGCUGUGAAAACUCGAGGCUCAACCUCGAGACGUCGGUUGAAACCACCUGGCUAGAGUUCGGUAGGGGAGACUGGAAUUCCUGGUGUAGCGGUGAAAUGACGCAGAUAUCAGGAGGAACACCGGUGGCGAAGGCGGGUCUCUGGGCCGAUACUGACGCUGAGGAGCGAAAGCGUGGGGAGCGAACAGG
rnacentral:rRNA from 1 species